GUAGGGAAUAUUGCACAAUGGAGGAAACUCUGAUGCAGCGACGCCGCGUGAGUGAUGAAGGCCUUCGGGUCGUAAAGCUCUGUCGCAGGGGAAUAACACAAUGAAGGUACCCUGUAAGAAAGGAUCGGCUAACUUCGUGCCAGCAGCCGCGGUAAGACGAGGGAUCCUAGCGUCGUUCGGAAUCAUUGGGCGUAAAGCGGAUGUAGGUGGCUAUGUAAGUCAGAUGUGAAAGCCUGGGGCUCAGCCCCAGAAGUGCAUUUGAUACUGCGUAGCUUGAGUGUCGGAGAGGUUACUAGAAUUGUUGGUGUAGUGGUGAAAUACGUAGAUAUCAACAGGAAUACCGGAGGCGAAGGCGGGUAACUGGCCGAACACUGACACUGAGAUCCGAAAGCGUGGGGAUCAAACAGGAUUAGAAACCCCGGUAGUCC
rnacentral:rRNA from 1 species